AUACGUAGGGGGCAAGCGUUGUCCGGAUUUACUGGGUAUAAAGGGAGCGCAGGCGGAUUCGUAAGUCAGGGGUGAAAUCCUACAGCUUAACUGUAGAACUGCCUUUGAUACUGCGAGUCUUGAGAUCGGAAGAGAGAGACGGAAUUCCAGGUGUAGUGGUGAAAUACGUAGAUAUCUGGAAGAACACCGAUGGCGAAGGCAGUCUCUUGGUCCGUAUCUGACGCUGAGGCUCGAAAGCGUGGGGAGCAAACAGGAUUAGAAACCCGAGUAGUCC
rnacentral:rRNA from 1 species